rnacentral:misc_RNA from 1 species
AACGCACAUUGCGCCCGCCAGUAUUCUGGCGGGCAUGCCUGUUCGAGCGUCAUUUCAACCCUCAAGCCCGGCUUGGUGUUGGUGGCCUGCGGCGCCCUCGCGGCCCGCAGCCGCCCAAAUGCAUUGGCGGACCCGCUGUGGCUUCCCUGCGUAGUAGCUUAAACCUCGCACCGGGCCUAGGCGGCGCCCUGCCGUAAAACCCCCACUCCAUCAAGGUUGACCUCGGAUCAGGUAGGAAUACCCGCUGAACUUAA